UCCUUCCUUAUCAUGUGAGAGCUUUGAGGUAUCUAUAUCACGGUCUCUAGAGACGUAUUGACAAGUGGUGGUAGCUUUACCCAGCUCUUCUUUGGAGGUUACAAACCGAGUAUGGGAGAAUCUGUAAAGCUCAGGAGGGAUAGCGCCUAAGCUAUUUCUUUCUUUCUUUCUUUUUUGCAGAAAUAUCAUCUGCGGCGCUAUCUAUCCUGAGUUUCAUGGGUUCUUCCUGCUAUAUGUAAAUAUCUGGUGUGGUAGCUUCAAGAAUGAUCAAAGUUGGUAUGUAUGUAUGUAUGUAUCUCCUUAUUCUGGAUUCUAUUAUGCCAUAUCUUGGGUUCUGCAUAGAGUAUAACUCUCUGACUCUUUCUUUUAUUUUCUUUUGAAUAAGCAAGGAUGUGACUAUGCGAGUGAUCUUUGGAGACAGGAGCAGUGAUAUUCAAACCAAAACUGUGUUUUGUGACAGAUGUUGGUGGCUAGGGUUUUAUAAUUUGAGUUAAAUGGCUUACAGGCUUUUAGUUUCAGUGGACGUUGACUCCUUUCACACUUCGUCCACACCACGGACUCGUCGCUUUCUUUACUGUUUCAAAACAUCAAAUCUCUCUCUAACUGAAGCAAAUGUGAUGAAUGCAAAUGCAUAUAUAUAAAUAAUCAGUAAUUUUCUUUUAUAUUAUUUUAUAUGGUGUGUAUUAUAAAUGAUGGUGAGGUUCCAUUUUUUUUAUGAAUUUAAUUAAUUGAUGUACA